rnacentral:rRNA from 1 species
UACGUAGGGUGCAAGCGUUGUCCGGAAUUAUUGGGCGUAAAGGGCUCGUAGGCGGUCUGUCGCGUCUGCUGUGAAAACUCAGGGCUUAACCCUGAGCUUGCAGUGGGUACGGGCAGACUAGAGUGCGGUAGGGGAGACUGGAAUUCCUGGUGUAGCGGUGAGAUGCGCAGAUAUCAGGAGGAACACCGGUGGCGAAGGCGGGUCUCCGGGCCGUAACUGACGCUGAGGAGCGAAAGCAUGGGGAGCGAACAGG